UACGUAGGGCGCAAGCGUUAUCCGGAAUUAUUGGGCGUAAAGAGCUCGUAGGCGGUUUGUCGCGUCUGCCGUGAAAGUCCGGGGCUCAACUCCGGAUCUGCGGUGGGUACGGGCAGACUAGAGUGAUGUAGGGGAGACUGGAAUUCCUGGUGUAGCGGUGAAAUGCGCAGAUAUCAGGGGGAACACCGGUGGCGAAGGCGGGUCUCUGGGCCGUAACUGACGCUGAGGAGCGAAAGCAUGGGGAGCGAACAGG
rnacentral:rRNA from 1 species